GUUUUCCAGAGCUCUGACAGUGCUGGUUCAUAUAGUUGCUGUUGGUUUUGUUGGGGAACAAGAGCUUAGAUUGUCUUAGUCCACCAUUUUGCUGGUGUCACUCAGGAUUUUCAUUAAGCAAACUCAUACUCAGUUUCUACAAAUGAAAGUCAAGUCAGUCAUCUAAACAUCUCAAUUUCUAAUCAAGAGGAUUUAGUCUUCUGUUUCCAAUAAAUCUGAAUUUAUGGUGGUG